GUCGGGGUGGCGGAAUAGGCAGACGCACCGUCUUGAGGGGGUGGCACCAUACGGUAUGUGGGUUCGAGUCCCAUUCCCGACA
rnacentral:tRNA from 1 species